rnacentral:rRNA from 1 species
UACGUAGGGUGCGAGCGUUAAUCGGAAUUACUGGGCGUAAAGCGUGCGCAGGCGGUUUUGUAAGCCAGAUGUGAAAGCCCCGGGCUUAACCUGGGAAUGGCAUUUGGGACUGCAAGGCUUGAGUGCGGCAGAGGAGACUGGAAUUCCCGGUGUAGCAGUGAAAUGCGUAGAUAUCGGGAGGAAUACCGAUGGCGAAGGCAGGUCUCUGGGCCAAUACUGACGCUCAUGCACGAAAGCGUGGGGAGCAAACAGG